GUUCCUUGGAUUGCUGUUUCUGUCAGCCGCAGAGGACAGGUGUGGCUUCAUCAAUCCUGCCAGUUGAGACUGAUGGUUCCUCCAGUGGUGAAAUGAGGCGAAGCAGGAGAAGAGAAAUCAGGCAAAGCAGGAGAAGAGAAAUCAGGCAAAGCAGGAGGGGAGAAUAAGCUUAAAGGAAAGCAGGAGCAAAGAGACAGAGAAUGGCACUCCUAAUGAGCCAAUCUCGGUCUCUUUGGUGCAGGUGUCUCCUCCUCAUCAAUGUCCUCCCUCUACCGCCGCCUUCCCCUGACAGAGGAAGCAGGAGAAGCAGCAGGGGAGGAACCAGGAAGAGAAGGAGAGACAUGAGGAGAAGCAGUGGAAGAGGAAGCAGUAAAAGAGGAAGCACAGGAAGAGGAAGCAGUAGGGGAGGAAGAAGAAGCAGAGGAGAACGAAGCAGAGUAAGAGGAGGCAGAGGAAG